UCUGUUCCCAAACAUCCCGUCUGCUGUGGAGCUGGCCAAGAUGCUAUGCGACAGUGUGACUGUGCCCAGAUUUGAUGUGGUCAGUUACCUCAAGGCACCAGAUCUUAUAACAGCAUUUGAUGAACACAGAGUGUCUCCGAAUUUCAAGUUUGGUGUCUUGUAUCAGAGAGAGGGACAGGU